rnacentral:rRNA from 1 species
AACGCGAAGAACCUUACCUGGGCUCGAAAUGUUGUGGACCGGGGUGGAAACAUCCCUUCCCCGCAAGGGGCCGCAAUAUAGGUGCUGCAUGGCUGUCGUCAGCUCGUGUCGUGAGAUGUUGGGUUAAGUCCCGCAACGAGCGCAACCCUUAUCUUCAGUUGCUACCAUUUAGUUGAGCACUCUGACGAAACCGCCUCGGAUAACGGGGAGGAAGGUGGGGAUGACGUCAAGUCCUCAUGGCCUUUAUGUCCAGGGCUACACACGUGCUACAAUGGCCGGUACAAACCGUCGCAAACCCGCGAGGGGGAGCUAAUCGGAAAAAGCCGGCCUCAGUUCGGAUUAGAGUCUGCAACUCGACUCUAUGAAGCUGGAAUCGCUAGUAAUCGCGGAUCAGAACGCCGCGGUGAAUACGUUCCCGGGCCUUGUA